rnacentral:rRNA from 2 species
UUUUACAGCGGAUGGUGGAUGCCUUGGGAGAUUGAGGCGAUGAAGGACGUGGCGUGCCUGCGAUAAGCCUCGGGGAGGUGGUUAGCAACCUUUGAUCCGGGGAUUUCCAAAUGGGGAAACCCGUUCCGAUGAUAAAUCGGAACACCCGACCCGAAAGGGUAAGGGGGCAAACCUGGGGAAGUGAAACAUCUCAGUACCCAGAGGAAUAGAGAAAAAAUUUUUACCCUUCAACAAGUUCAGGGUAAUCCUGAGCCUGCCGAAGGAUUAUUUCCUUAGUAGCGGCGAGCGAAAAGGAAAAAGCCCAAACCUACCAGUGCUUCGCACUGGAAAUUCCAAUUUCCAAAUCCCAAAUCACAAACAAAUCUUAAAUUCUAAAUUCCAAAUUCUAAACACGUUUUGGUUAUUAGAAUUUUGGUCAUUAGAUAUUGUUUGUAAUUUGGUGCUUGGUGCUUGGAGCUUCCACUGCGGAGCAGUGGUGGGGGUUGUAAGGAAAUGUCGUCGGGAGCUGACCGAAGCACAUAACGUUUUAUGUGCCUGGUCGGUUUCUGAGGGAGAACACCUAGAUAAGGGUUAGUUAGAAGAAAUACCCUGGAAAGGGAUACCAAAGAGGGUAAUAGUCCCGUAUUCGAAAACUCCUUUAUGCUCCUUGAUAUUUUUCUUGAGUACCAUGAGGACAAGAUAACCUUGUGGGAAGCNNNNNNNNNNNNNNGAACCAGUACCGUGAGGGAAAGGUGAAAAGUAGGGAGGUGAUCCCGGUGAAAUAGAACCUGAAACCAUCACGCUUACAAAGAGUCGGAGCCCCGCUUCGGCGGGGUGACGGCGUGCUUUUUGCAGAACGAACCAACGAGUUUCCCGUACCACUCUGUCUAAGCUCCUUUGGAGUGGAGGCAAAGUGAAAGCGAGCGUGAAUAGCGCAAACUAAAAAGUGGUACAGGAAGACCCGAAGCCAGGCGAGCUUGCCAUGGCCAGGGUGAAUCCCGGAGAAAUCCGGGAGGAGGCCCGAACCCGUGAGCCGUUCAACACUCUGGGAUGAGCUGUGGUAAGAAGUGAAAAGCUAAACGAGCCUGGUAAUAGCUGGUUCUCCCCGAAAUAGCUUUAGGGCUAGCCCCGUUAUUUGAUUUUCUGGAGGUAGAGCACUGGAAGGAAUAUCGUGGCUUUUGCUAGAUAUUCCUACCAAACUCCGAAUGCCAGAAAAUUUCGACGGGAGUCAGACUCCGGAGGCUAAGCCCCGGGGUCAAAAGGGAAACAGCCCAAAUCUUCAUCUAAGGUCCCUAAACUGAGCUAAGUGUUUUAAAGGAAGUGGGAUUCCAAUGAUAGUUAGGAGGUUAGCUUAGAAGCAGCUACCCUUUAAAAAGUGCGUAA